CCGGCCAGCACCAGGCAUGGCACUCUGCUGUGCCUGUGGUAGGCCGAGAGGAAGUGGCUGUUUCUACACUCAGUGCCCCCACCCGUGGGCACUAAGAAUGGUUUAUAGCCUGACAUU
rnacentral:snoRNA from 1 species